UCCCGGUUGAUCCUGCCCGGACCCCCACUGCUAUCGGGAUGGGACUAGACAUGCUAGUCGAGCGUCUCAAGCUAUGGAAGAGACGCGGCACACAGCUCAGUAACACGUGGCUAACCUGCCCUUGGGACAAGGACAACCCCGGGAAACUGGGGCUAAUCCUGAUAGGUGAGAACUCCUGGAAUGGAUUCCCGCUGAAAGGACGUUUAGACCAUGCUUCUAGGCGUCGCCCAAGGAGGGGGCCGCGACCGAUCAGGUUGUUGGUGAGGUAACGGCUCACCAAGCCUUUAACCGGUACGGGCCGUGAGAGCGGAAGCCCGGAGAUGGGCACUGAGACAAGGGCCCAGGCCCUACGGGGCGCAGCAGUCGCGAAAACUCCGCAAUACACGAAAGUGUGACGGGGCUAUCCCGAGUGCCAUCCGCUGAGGAUGGCUUUUCCCCAGUGUAUAAAGCUGGGGGAAUAAGGAGAGGGCAAGCCUGGUGUCAGCCGCCGCGGUAAUACCAGCUCUCCGAGUGGUGGGGAUGUUUAUUGGGCCUAAAGCAUUCGUAGCCUGCUUGGCAAGUCCUCCGUUAAAUCCAACGAUUCAAUCGUUGGGCUGCGGGGGAUACUGCCCGGCUAGGGGGCGGGAGAGGCCGACGGUAUCCCCGGGGUAGGGGUGAAAUCCUAUAAUCCCGGGAGGACCACCAGUGGCGAAGGCUGUCGGCUAGAACGCGCUCGACGGUGAGGGAUGAAAGCUGGGGGAGCGAACCGGAUUAGAUACCCGGGUAGUCCCAGCUGUAAACGAUGCAGGCUAGGUGUUGGCGCGGCUACGUGCCGCUCCAGUGCCGCAGGGAAGCCGUUAAGCCUGCCGCCUGGGAAGUACGGCCGCAAGGCUGAAACUUAAAGGAAUUGGCGGGGGAGCACCACAAGGUGUGAAGCUUGCGGUUUAAUUGGAGUCAACGCCGGAA
rnacentral:rRNA from 1 species